AUGGCUCAGAACGAACGCUGGUGGCGUGUCUUAUACAUGCAAGUCGAGCGAGGCAGCAAUGCCGAGCGGCGAACGGGUGAGUAACGCGUAAGCAAUCUGCCCCAUAUCAGGAAAUACCCGUGCCAACGCGCGGUUAAUGUCCAGGAGAGUGGCCCUCCGCAUGGAGGGUUGACUAGAGAUUCAUCGGUAUGGGAUGAGCUUGCGUCCGAUUAGCUAGUUGGCGGGCAACGGCCCACCAAGGCGACGAUCGGUAGCCGGCCUGAGAGGGUGAUCGGCCACAUUGGGACUGAGAUACGGCCCAGACUCCUACGGGAGGCAGCAGUAGGGAAUAUUGCACAAUGGGGGAAACCCUGAUGCAGCAACGCCAACCGUGUGGGAAGAAGCAUUUCGGUGUGUAAACCACUGUCAUGAGGGAAUAAGGCCCGCCUUCGGACGGGAUUGAAUGUACCUUGAGAGGAAGCACCGGCAAACUUCGUGCCAGCCGCCGC
rnacentral:rRNA from 1 species